UCCCGAGCCAUAGCGAAAAGAACGGGAAAUUGCUUUGCAUUUUCAUGCCACCAGCCUAACGGUGAAAAUUCCUUGGUGCGAGGCUCCUUUUGCUUCUGCUAGUAAAAUUGAAGUUCAUCAAUAUUCCUGCUAUUACUUUGAGUGUUAGAAAAAGUUUAAAAAAUUAUUAAAACUAUCAAUGCCUUCUUCAUCAUCUACAUUAGAACUGCUACAUUGCAUAGCGGGAUNN
rnacentral:lncRNA from 1 species